ensembl:lncRNA
GUUCCAGAGUGUCAUCAUUCAUUGAUUAGCUAAAUCUGCUAACACUUUGGCAAGAAGAACUCAACUUAAUAUUCUUUAAAAAUAUAAAAUCAUAUGAGGAAAGCCAGCAUAAGAGUCAAACCUGACUAUUCAAAUAAAUGAGGGGCUGCACUUUUUAUUCAGAGGCCAGUGCUGGUUUGAACACCGUCUAAUGGUGCUUCCAGUGUUGCUGCGUCGAGACGCCGCGAUUGCCGUUAUUGAUAUACAAAACGAGCAAUCAUGGAGAGAGUUGGAGGCGAAGGAAACCACAAGUGCCUAAUCACGUCUGUGAAAUUUUACAGCUGCACGGAGCUUCAGAAAGCUUUGUUUUCUUCAGUCCCCCUAAAAUGUGCAGUGUGGAGAGCGUUUUAGGAAACAGCAAUGUUUCAGGAGCUGGAAAAUGUCAAGUGGUCUCCGUGUAGAUCCCACAGCCCGCUCCUCCCCGCUUUACACACAGGCUCCUGCUCCCCAUAGGUUUUCUCCAGAAUAGCUAAAAGAAGGCUUUUCCUCCCCAAUGCCUCGACGGCAUUCCCUCUUCCCCCCCACCCCAUUCCUCUUUCUCCUGUCCCUUCAGCAGCCACCCCCAAUUACACACAACAGCUGCCAGUGUCCUUUGGAGGAAAAAUGAUGCGUGUCCAACAAAACUGAUCUCUUUCACCUCCUCCUGUACCUCCUCUCCUCUAUCAACCAGUUAACCCCCACCACACACUGCUCCGCCCCAGUUCGAUCCCCCUUGCACCUGAAGCAUGUACCACAUUACAUUCAGACAGGCAGCCAGAGAGCAGUGAUGAUGGCAGAUUUCCUGUCUACCAGGCAUGCACAUGUGAAAGCCCCGGGUUGCCUUUAGUACCUCGCCUGACAGAUACGCUGUUGCCGCUGUGGCGCACCAAAGCGCAGACUGUCUCUCACUCACGUGCACACAGAUCAGCAGACAUGACUGGGCCACGUCGACCGACCUAGCACCGAACAACUGCGCGAGCGGCUGAUUUUACUUGCCUGUUUGGGCUCUG